rnacentral:lncRNA from 1 species
AAAACAGUAAAAUACCCCCAUUAAAAUUUGAUAAAAACAAAUAAAAUACCCUUUUUUUCCCAUAAAAGCAUGUUACAGAGCUUCACAUGCAGACUGAGCCCCUCACUCUCAGUUUGAACUAGUAAAAACAGUAAAAUACCCCCAAUUAAAAUUUGAUAAAAACAAAUAAAAUACCCUUUUUUUCCCAUAAAAGCAUGUUACAGAGCUUCACAUGCAGACUGAGCCCCUCACUCUCAGUUUGUACCAGUAAAAACAGUAAAAUACCCCCAAUUAAAAUUUGGAUAAAAACAGUAAAAUGUCCCCAAUAAAAUUUGAUAAAAACAAUUAAAAUACCCAUUUCCCCUUAAAAGCAUGUUACAGAGCUUCACAUGCAGACUGAGCCCCCUUACUCUCAGUUUGUAUCGUAAAAACAUGUUACAGAGCUUCACAUGCAGACUGAGCCCCCUCACUCUCAGUUUGUAUCGUAAAAACAUGUUACAGAGCUUCACAUGUAGACUGAGCCCCCUCACUCUCAGUUUGUAUCGUAAAAACAUGUUACAGAGCUUCACAUGCAGACUGAGCCCCCUCACUCUCAGUUUGUAUCAGUAAGAAUGGAUACUUGAUACGUAUGGUAGGGGACGUUACUAUACCUAGAGCAGAGCGUUAGUAUCUGUGAACCCUAAACACAGAUGGCGACUUAACUUACCAUACUUGUACACAAGUAUCUAAUGCUAACUGAUACAUAAUGUUGAUAAAAACAAUUAAAAUACCCAUUUCCCCUUAAAAGCAUGUUACAGAGCUUCACAUGCAGACUGAGCCCCCUCACUCUCAGUUUGU